rnacentral:tRNA from 3 species
GCCCGAGUGGUGGAAUGGCAGACACGGGGGUCUCAAAAACCCCUGGGGGCAACCCCGUGUGAGUUCGAGUCUCACCUCGGGCACCA